GACGAACGCUGGCGGCGUGCCUAAUACAUGCAAGUCGAGCGAGGAACUUCGGUUUCUAGCGGCGAACGGGUGAGUAACACGUGGGCAACCUGGCCUUAAGCCUGGGAUAACACCGGGAAACCGGUGCUAACACCCGAUAAUCUCUUUUCUCGCAUGAGAGAAGCGUAAAAGUUUACACUUAAGGAUGGGCCCGCGGUGCAUUAGCUCGUUGGUGGGGUAACGGCCUACCAAGGCGACGAUGCAUAGCCGACCUGAGAGGGUGACCGGCCACACUGGGACUGAGACACGGCCCAGACUCCUACGGGAGGCAGCAGUAGGGAAUUUUCCGCAAUGGGCGAAAGCCUGACGGAGCAACGCCGCGUGAGUGAAGACGGCCUUCGGGUUGUAAAGCUCUGUUCUUGGGGAAGAAAACAAUGACGGUACCCAAGCAGAAAGCCCCGGCUAACUACGUGCCAGCAGCCGCCGUAA
rnacentral:rRNA from 1 species